GCGAACGCUGGCGGCAUGGCUAAAGCAUGCAAGUCGAACGGUUAAAGCCCCUUCGGGGGUGUAUAAAGUGGCGCAAGGGCGAGGAAUACGUUUCCAUGUACCCCGAGGUCGAGGAUAGCCCAGGGAAACCUGGAGUAAUACUCGAUGUGGUCCUUCGGGAUCAAAGGCUUCGGCCGCCUUGGGAGCGGGGAACGCCCUAUCAGGUUGUUGGUGAGGUAACGGCUCACCAAGCCGAAGACGGGUAGCGGGUGUGAGAGCACGACCCGCCGCAUCGGGACUGAGACACUGCCCGGACUCCUACGGGAGGCUGCAGCAACGAAUCUUCCGCAAUGCGCGAAAGCGUGACGGAGCAAUGCCGCGUGCAGGAUGAAGCCCUUCGGGGUGUAAACUGCUGUCAGGGUUCAGCAACACAAUGAGCAGACCCAAAGGAAGGGCCGGCUAACUUCGUG
rnacentral:rRNA from 1 species